GGGGCCCCGGGCGCCCGCGCGGCCCUAGAGCGCGCGGCUCUGCGCCUCGGCAACCUGAGCCGCCUGCCGCCGCCUCCGCGCCCCUGGCCGGGCUCGGGUCGCGGGAGCCAAUGCCGCUCGCUUCCCCCGAAGAAGGCCAGCCUGCGCAGGACUGUGGGGGUCACUGUUCCCCGAGACACAAUGGGGGCCUUGUGUCGGAUGUGGCCUCUUGGAGGACAGAAGGGGCCAGGCCCUGCUCCACACUGCCCAUCGGCUUCCUUCCAGAGCGUCCCGGCAUAGAGGAUCCAAAAGUACUCAACCAGAGCAACUCAAAAGAUGCUCAGAGACUACACCUGCUUGCAAGAGCUUUAAUUAUCAACAUCCAAAGCCCGAGGGAGAAAAACAUAAAGUUUACCCUCAAACAAUAUAUGGUGAAGAGAAGGAUGAAGAGUCCAUAUUCAGCCACACAGAAAGAGGAUGAAAGACUUUUCCUGCCGUGGGAAAGAACUUCAAAGGGGAGCAAAGAGGCAGAGGGUGAGUCUGUGAGUGUUUGAUGCUUCACUUCCCGCCUAGGCUGAGUCCAGUGGUGAAGACAACUGGAAAUCCAAGAUGGGUUUAGAGAACCCGAGGCGGGAAAGGACUAGCUCUUCCCUCUCAAAGCAAAGCCUGGGAAGCCUGCAAGUCUCUUAGAGAAAGUAGCAGCAGCAAAAUCUGAGAGAUGCCCAGACAGCUGGCCCAAGGGCAGCCUCAGGGGCUGCCAGGGUUUCAUGGAGACAGAGACAGAGAAGUACGACAGCCCCUGAGAGCGGGGUGAGGAUGACACCCAGGCCAGGGGGCAUGAAGGAAUCUGGGAUCUCCACCCCAGUGAGCAGGACCCAGAGUGGCCUGCAUGGAACAGAUCAUCAGGAGGGUUAUUGGGAGAUCAGUGGUCCCUUGAGCACAAGCAGGUACAUCCAGAGGCAGAUGGGAGAGGGUGAAGCUCAGCAUCAUUUCAGAGACGGACACAGGCUGACUGAGGACCCAGCAUCCUCUUCUGGCCUGGAUGAUUGUUAAAGUCUCUUCAUUCUGGAACUCAGGUCACUGCCUGGGCAGAAAGGAGGAAAAGAGUUGAGGAAGCAUAGGCAAUGAGUGAGGGCAAAAUCUCAGGCGGCACUAGUGGUAAAGAACCUGCCUGCCAAUGUAGGAGACAUAAGAGACGUGGGUUCGAUCCCUGGGCCGGGAAGAUCCCCUGGAGGAGGGCAUGACAACCCCCACUCCAGUAUUCUUGCCUGGGAAAUCCCAUGGACAGAGGAAUCUGGUGGACUACAGUCCAUAGGGUUGCAAAGAGUUGGACAUGACUGAAGCAACUUAGUAUGCAGGAAAUGAUUGAAUCAUUGAUCACCACCAUCUAUGGAAUUUUACCCUAACUGAGCUAACCCUGAAUCAGAUUAUUUUUGUCACUGUUCAUUAAAAAAAAAAAAAAGGACAGACAAAAUUUAGUUCUUAUAGAGAAAUGAAGUUUCAAUUUUGCAUACCUGUGCAAUAUAUAGGGAAGGUUAAUAAAAUUUUUACUUAAAACUUCA
rnacentral:lncRNA from 1 species